rnacentral:rRNA from 1 species
CGCGGCGGACGGGUUAGUAACGCGUGGGAACGUGCCCUUUAGUGCGGAAUAGCCAUUGGAAACGAUGAUUAAUACCGUAUACGCCCUAUUGGGGAAAGAUUUAUCGCUAAAGGAUCGGCCCGCGUUAGAUUAGGUAGUUGGUGGGGUAAUGGCCUACCAAGCCUACGAUCUAUAGCUGGUUUGAGAGGAUGAUCAGCAACACUGGGACUGAGACACGGCCCAGACUUCUACGGAAGGCAGCAGUAGGGAAUCUUGGACAAUGGGCGAAAGCCUGAUCCAGCCAUGCCGCGUGAGUGAUGAAGGCCCUAGGGUUGUAAAACUCUUUCGCCAGGGAAGAUAAUGACGGUACCUGGUAAAGAAACCCCGGCUAACUCCGUGCCAGCAGCCGCGGUAAUACGGAGGGGGUUAGCGUUGUUCAGAAUUACUGGGCGUAAAGCGCACGUAGGCGGACUAGUCAGUCAGAGGUGAAAUCCCGAGGCUUAACCUCGGAACUGCCUUUGAUACUGCUAGUCUAGAGUUCGAGAGAGGUGAGUGGAAUUCCGAGUGUAGAGGUGAAAUUCGUAGAUAUUCGGAGGAACACCAGUGGCGAAGGCGGCUCACUGGAUCGAUACUGA